ACUUUUAGGCCCAGAAAACGUCUCUUAGUCAACACUGGUCAGACGGGCUGGUGAGGGCUGAGGUGUACUGUUGUUACAAAAGACAAGAUGUAUGGCAGCAGCACCCAGUUUCAGAGCUGGACAUUUAAGGAUGAGCAUGAAUUGGCAAAAUUGCGUUUUCAGGUCAACUGUGACUUCAUUGAGAAGUUUGGAAAGAAUAUGGCCAAUAUGGAGCGAGUACAACACUUCCUCACCACGGAAGAGGAGCAUUUAAUGGUUCGUUCAUAUGAACAUUCUUUAAGAGAAUUUUGCAAGAAGUUCAGAGACCCAAGAGAUAGUCGCAUCAGAAUGCUGCCGUCAGUAACAACAACAGCACAGCAUUAUUUCAAGAGAUUUUACCUGUACAACUCCGUCAUGGAUUACCAUCCUAAAGAAAUUCUAGUGACUUGUGUGUAUCUUGCAUGUAAAAUUGAGGAGUUUUUUGUGACUAUCAAUGACUUUGUUUACAAUGUACGAGGUGACAAGAAGAAAGCAGCUGAGAUUAUUCUUAACAAUGAACUUCAGCUCACACAGGAAUUACAGUUUCAUCUUAUUAUUCAUCAACCAUUCCGACCAGUUGAAGGCUUACUUAUAGAUAUUAAGACAAGGUUUCCUCAGCUGCGAGACCCUGAGCGACUUAGGCCAUACAUAGAAGAGUUUUUGGAGAAGGUCAAUCUUACAGAUGCCAUAUUAUUGUAUGCUCCAGGGCAGAUUGCCCUGGCAGCAGUUACAAAUGCAGUCAGCAGAUUGGGAGAGAACCUGGAUCAUUAUGUGACUGAUAUACUGUUCCCAGAUGAACAGAAGCAGCAUCUCUCAGUUCUUAUUGAAGCAGUCAGAAAGAUUAAGAAAAUGGUGAAGAAUGCAGAGCCUCCGUUGGCAGAUGCUGUCCGCCGUGAAAUAGAAGCCAAGCUGGAAAAGUGUCGUAACCAGCAAAAUAAUCCCAAUUCAUCACAGUAUCGUGCACACUUUUCUGAGUGGGAUGAUGAUGAUUUACCUAUUGCUGCUUCACCAUUUAAUGAUGAUAUAGGUUUAGGGGUAGAGAGAAUUCGAUCACCAUCAACUUACUAACUCUUGAUAUUUACAGAAGUGAUGCGAGGGUCGCUCGGAACAGUGGAUCGUGAGUGGCUAAGGCCUAGGGAGCGUUAAGGACAGUAUUUUAAAAAUUGGCACGCACAUCUUGAUGCCCGAGCAGAGACAUAGCAAGCUUGCUAUUUGAAAUAAAAAGCCCGGAGUCUUCUGCAUCACUGCCAUGCUCACGGCCUGCCUCUCCUCUUCACUCUACUGAUAUGGCUUCCUCACCUGCCAGCCCUUUAUCGGACAUUCUGGAUGAUCCCAGUUCAGAGGUCUUAAAGGAGGAGCAGUAAUAUCUUCAGUAUCAUUACUGAGACUUCUACAGCAGCCAUUAUGAACACUGUGUGUCAGGCAUGCAUUCGUGUGUUGAUGGCUCAGUGGCGGUGGUGGUACUGGUACUGUCCAUGUGAAGCUGGCAGCAGAUUACGCUUUGCUGCUACUGCAAUCCAGUGACUUCCCUAAUAUCACACCACAUUUAUAUGCUUCUCAUUUAAUUUAUUUCUUAUUAACACAAAAUGCAACUGUACAUACCUAUCUAGUAUAGAGGGCUUAAAUAAAGUUUAUAUAUUAUUUU